rnacentral:tRNA from 1 species
GCGGGUGUAGUUUAGUGGUAGAACAUCAGCUUCCCAAGCUGAGAGUGUGGGUCCGAUUCCCAUCACCCGCUCCA